rnacentral:rRNA from 1 species
AGCCCUACGGGACGCAGCAGUGGGGAAUAUUGCACAAUGGGGGAAACCCUGAUGCAGCGAUGCCGCGUGGAGGAAGAAGGUUUUCGGAUUGUAAACUCCUUUUAUCAGGGACGAUAAUGACGGUACCUGAAGAAAAAGCUCCGGCUAACUACGUGCCAGCAGCCGCGGUAAUACGUAGGGAGCGAGCGUUGUCCGGAAUUACUGGGUGUAAAGGGAGCGUAGGCGGGACGGCAAGUCAGAUGUGAAAACUGAGGGCGCAACCUUCAGACGGCAUUUGAAACUGCUGUUUUUGAGUGAAGUAGAGG